rnacentral:rRNA from 1 species
UAGUGGCGAACGGGUGAGUAACACGUGGGCAAUCUGCCCUUCACUCUGGGACAAGCCCUGGAAACGGGGUCUAAUACCGGAUAAUACUUCUGCCUGCAUGGGUGGGGGUUGAAAGCUCCGGCGGUGAAGGAUGAGCCCGCGGCCUAUCAGCUUGUUGGUGGGGUGAUGGCCUACCAAGGCGACGACGGGUAGCCGGCCUGAGAGGGCGACCGGCCACACUGGGACUGAGACACGGCCCAGACUCCUACGGGAGGCAGCAGUGGGGAAUAUUGCACAAUGGGCGGAAGCCUGAUGCAGCGACGCCGCGUGAGGGAUGACGGCCUUCGGGUUGUAAACCUCUUUCAGCAGGGAAGAAGCGCAAGUGACGGUACCUGCAGAAGAAGCGCCGGCUAACUACGUGCCAGCAGCCGCGGUAAUACGUAGGGCGCAAGCGUUGUCCGGAAUUAUUGGGCGUAAAGAGCUCGUAGGCGGCUUGUCGCGUCGGAUGUGAAAGCCCGGGGCUUAACCCCGGGUCUGCAUUCGAUACGGGCAGGCUAGAGUGUGGUAGGGGAGAUCGGAAUUCCU